UGAUGUGUGGUGCGCGACGUGGUGCGGUGCUCGGGACGGUCGAGAGCAGACGACGCUGAGUGCACGCGCGCCGAGGUGGAAGAAGGAAAACAACGACGACGAAGAGCGCCCGGCACGAGAACGCGCGGCGCAGGAAAGACAACAAAAAGAAAAAAAGCAACCAAUCAAGAAAGACCACGGAGCGUCGGGCAGCCAAUCCGAAAAUGCCAAAUCGGCCAGACCAAAAGAAAAAGCGUGGUGCGCUGGCAGAACGGGGGCGACACGCAAGAGGACACGCAGGGAGACGCCGGGCAGACGCCAGGAGAGUCCCAGGAAACGACGGCAGGAGGAGCUCAACCACCGGAGCGGGCGUUGAAGACGGGCCGUCGGGUUCCGGACCCGAGCCCACCAGGACUUCACCCGACCGGGGCCUCCUGCCAACCUGUUCCUGUGCGUCGCCCGUCUACCUGAGCGUGCCGUCAGCUCCUCAACGCCGGUGAGCUUUUGCGCCAGUGGGCAGGACGAGAACAGUCGGGCUUCGGGCCCGAGUUCUACGCCAGCUGCCCGGCCAGAACGCCACCCCCGUCUGCCGUGCCACCUGCUGCCCGAGGCCGGCGUUCGAGCUUCCGCGCCGUGGGCGAGAGGGGAGCAGUCGGGCUACGGGCCCGAGCUCUCUGCCCGGCCAGAACGCCGCCGCCGUCCACUCCUGCCACCCAGCCGCCAGCGUUACCUCACCUCGCCAGAGCUGGCGCGCUCCCGGCGCCCAGUCGGUCAGCUUACGCCGCGACCUUUGGUGAGACCGGCGCCACUCCUUCUGCCAGCUUCUCACCGCGUUGCCGCGUCGAGACUGCGACGCGUCCCCGCCCUCGUGGCAAGCCCAGACUCGCGCCCUCGUUAAAGCCCUAACUGACCUUCACCGUGUGUGCCAACCGCGCGCAUGGUUGCCCCGCCGUUCUCCCGAUGGACGCAGUCACGGACCAUGAAACAGCAUGUCCUUUCAGUAUCCUACGCUGCGUCCAUCGGAGAACAUGUGGCUACAUAUCAACGGUGGCGGACAUGGCGGCACACCUUAUCAGCGCACACGGUUGCCCGUAUUUUUAUCUCGCAGGUAAGUCAGUAUACCAAGAAAGGAAGUGCGAAGUGUAUUCCAAUGUAAUAAUCAUAGGUCAUUACUUGCACUGAAUGUCGCCGUAACAUCGACAUGAAAACUUGCCUUUGUAGUGUGCAGAUAGCCGUAACAGCCGUAUGGAACUACCGUGCACAGGGGCCAGUCAGAAUACGGAAGCAUGAUACAUUCAUUUUAUCCUUUACUCAGAAAGUAAAAUAUAAAUUAUGGGGUUUUA